rnacentral:rRNA from 1 species
AGAGUUUGAUCAUGGCUCAGAUUGAACGCUAGCGGGAUGCUUUACACAUGCAAGUCGAACGGCAGCGCAGGGAGCUUGCUCCCGGGCGGCGAGUGGCGGACGGGUGAGUAGUGUAUCGGAACGUACCCAGUAGCGGGGGAUAACUACGCGAAAGCGUGGCUAAUACCGCAUACGCCCUACGGGGGAAAGAGGGGGAUCGCAAGACCUCUCACUAUUGGAGCGGCUGAUAUCGGAUUAGCUUGUUGGUGGGGUAAAGGCCCACCAAGGCGACGAUCCGUAGCUGGUUUGAGAGGACGACCAGCCACACUGGGACUGAGACACGGCCCAGACUCCUACGGGAGGCAGCAGUGGGGAAUUUUGGACAAUGGGGGCAACCCUGAUCCAGCCAUCCCGCGUGUGCGAUGAAGGCCUUCGGGUUGUAAAGCACUUUUGGCAGGGAAGAAACGGCGCGGGCGAAUAACCCGCGCAACUGACGGUACCUGCAGAAUAAGCACCGGCUAACUACGUGCCAGCCGCCGCGGUAAUUCAAUUAAUC